ACCAUCAGUGUCAUCAGUUUCUGAGUCAUAAAAACUAAGACAUUGGUUGGUUGCAGCAAGUAACAGACUCUGUAAAAAUGGAAAGGGAAAAACUAACUUCUCUUUUUGUUUGAUAAGAAACAUGAGGAAUUCGGGAACUGUGACAAACAAUUAUUGUUAACAGUUUUGAUUGCCAGUUGAAUAAUUGAAUAACUUGAUUUUCCCACUCCUAUCUUAUAACAGGAAAAUAAACAAAAAUACCUGUAUCAUUCCCUGGAGAAG
rnacentral:misc_RNA from 1 species